CUGAACUGAAGCCCCACACAUCUGCACAUUAGCCAGGUUGGGAGCCAGCUUUGCUCUCCCUCACCUCAGCAGCUCGGUGCUCUGCGUUCAGACCCCUCGGAUGGCCUCAAGCCCUCCCGUGACGGGGCCACUGUCUGCCUCUCCUGCCUGAUCCUGUGCCCCUCCACGCCUCACCAGUCUCACAGCCACGCUGGCCUUGUGUCUCUUUGCGUGGGCCUGGAACACUAGCCCUGUCCAUAAAGAUCGGUUGGAUAAAGAGAAAGGACCCUGUGACAUAAGCCACCUUGUGUCUUCUUCUGGGUGGGAGGAUGAGGCUUUCCCAUUAUCAAGUCUUUCCACUUCCUGCUCCACCAUGGUUCUUGACUCAGGGUCACCUGGGCAAUACAACUAUGUUUCCUUGUCUGGCAACCUCUGAGCCUUGCAUCAGAAGGUUAAGUAAAGGCAACCUAAGAUCCAGUAUGAGAACUUCAUUCAUGAGUGAAAUCACAUUUUUCUCCAUCCUCUUUCAGAAAAAUGUUUCUUUGACACCAAACUCUUGGCAGCUGCAGGAAGAGGCCAACAUGCCUAAUGUAGGCACAACUGAACUGUUCCUUCUACUCUGAGAUCUCCAUCACCCACAUCUGAGGGCAUCCAAGUGAGGGCAGUGUGGGUGAUUAGCAUUGUUAGAACUAGCCUCUCAUCCAGAAGGACGGAUUAAAUUUCCACUCGUCCAAAGUCAGGAGUAUCUCCUGAGCCUGUUAUCAUUAGAAACAAGCUAAUGGUUCCAGUUCUGAAGGUGGCUGAUGCAGGAACAAUCAUACAUACAUCACACCCCGCUUUGUUCCCAGGCCACCUUGCAGGGUAACAUAACCUCAGAACACACCACUGUCUAAAUAAGGAAAUAACUGGUGGGAAUCACAUGAAGGCAGAUUUGGAGUUAAUAUGGAACCUGAGCUGGCCAAUGGGACUGUAAUCUAUGGAACUGGCUGCUAGCAUAGUGGAGAAUGUCCAUCAUUGGAGGUGUUCGCCUGAGGACCACAUGACCACUUCCCUCCAUGAGAGCAUUUGCAGGACUCUCCACAGGGAAUUCCAAGGUCCCUUCUCUUCUUGCGUUUCCCAGUGCUACAGUCACUCCAACAACCUCAUCUUGACACUUGCCAUCCUCCUGCAAGAAUAUUGGUCUCCAACACUCAUCUGCAUGAUGUGACGGCAUCCCACGCUCUUGUUGUGCUCAGUCUUGAUUGGCUGCACCAGGUGGCUGCUGCAUUUACCCACAUUGGAGGUCAAAGGAAGGAGGCUUCACUCAUGAUGAUGUGAGGAUGUUCCAAUGCACCCUGGGCUCGAUGAAGAAAUUGGCAGUGUACUUGGAAAAAUAUCAGCCUUUUCCAGAGUGAAAAUUCAAGUGUAAAAUCUGCUUCUACACCAGAGCCUGCCACUCUUGUUUUGGGGUGGGAAUAAUUAUUAUAUCUUAGAUUUUUCUCUUUAGAAAAAAGUUCAAGUAGGAUUUGCACAAAAUUGUAAGAACAUUUUUAAAGAUUUUCUGAUGUAUAAAGAAUAUGACUUUGAAUGUGUGGAUCUGGAUAAAGGAUAUAAUUUUGUGUAGGAUGGUGACUUCAAAUGAAAAGGUAGCGUUGUUAUUUUAAAAAGGAGUGGAAUGUGCUUCAUGGAAAACCAAGCCUAUACUAGGUAGUUUACUGUUUGCAAGUUUCAUGUGUAUCAAAAACAAAUGUUUCUCAGGAAAGAAUUAUAUGUUUAUUGUUUUCACUACAGGUACAGUCUUCAGACAGCUUCCCUCGGUCACUCAGUAAAUGCUUACUGCAUAAGGAAUUACAGCAAGAAUAUUUAUGUCUAUUGCUUUUAAGUUUUUGGAAGAUGGGAGAGAUGGAGGGAUGAUUGGUGUGCAUACAUGGAUGUUCGCUAAAAUGUCCAAACUAUUUUAGGGUUUGUGGAUGGAAUUAACUCUUAUUUAAUGUUUUUUGAAAGAACUGUCAGAGAAGAGGUUGAAGAGAUUGUUUUCUUUUCACUGGGUGUUUUGUUUUGUUUUAUUUUGUUUGCAUUGCAAUUCUUAUUACAUAUAUAUAACACAAUUUUUCAUAUCUCUGUUUGUAUAUAAAGUAUGUUGACACCCAAUUUGUGUCUUCAUACAUGUACUUUGAUUAAUGACUGGGAACAUUUUAAAGAGAAGAAAUACUGAGACCUUUCUGGUUUUAUUUACUCAAAGUUAUACUGAAAUGUUAUUUCAAAUUGAAUUAAAAUUUCACAAGAAUUAGGCACAUGCUCUUGAAGACAGAUUAUGUGAAUGUGAAAUAUGAUGAAAAGGGAAUGAAGAAAUGCACGAUUCAGAUUCAUGUAUUUAAAAAGGAAGGAAUUGUUUUGACCUUGAACUGGAUGUGGCACCCCUCCUGUAAAUUAAAUCCUUAGAAAUGAGCUUCUGGGAAAAUUGCAUUCUAGAAUAUGUUAAUAAAUUAUUAGAAUAUGUGAAAAGCCA